GGACGGAGGAUGCAAGUGUUAUCCGGGAAUCACUGGGCGUAAAGCGUCUGUAGGUGGUUCGAAAAGUCCAACUGUUAAAAAUUGAGGCUUAACUUCAAAGAUGCCGUGGAAACUUUCGAAACUAGAGUAUGGUAGGGGUAGAGGGAAUUUCCAGUGGAGCGGUGAAAUGCGUAGAUAUUGGAAAGACCACCGAUGGCGAAGGCACUCUACUGGGCCACUACUGACACUGGAGAGACGAAAGCUAGGGGAGCAAAUGGG
rnacentral:rRNA from 1 species